rnacentral:rRNA from 1 species
AGAUCGGAAGCGAGAAUGUUGACAUGAGUAGCGACAAACAGGGUGAGAGACCCUGUCGCCGAAAGUCCAAGGGUUCCUGCUUAAAGCUAAUCUGAGCAGGGUAAGCCGGCCCCUAAGGCGAGGCCGAAAGGCGUAGUCGUUGGGAACCAGGUUAAUAUUCCGGGGCCAGGAGGAUGUGACGGAUCUCGACGGUAGUUUGCCCUUAUCGGAUUGGGUGAGCUGCUUAGAGGUUCCUGGAAAUAGCCCUCCACAAGACCGUACCCCAAACCGACACAGGUGGACUGGUAGAGAAUACCAAGGCGCUUGAGAGAACCACAUCAAAGGAACUCGGCAAAAUGCUCCCGUAAGUUCGCGAGAAGGGAGCCCCGUCUGUAGGCAACUAUGGGCGGGGGGCACAAACCAGGGGGUGGCGACUGUUUACUUAAAACACAGGGCUGUGCGAAGCCGUAAGGCGACGUAUACAGUCUGACGCCUGCCCGGUGCUGGAAGGUUAAGAGGAGGGGUGCAAGCUCUGAAUUGAAGCCCCAGUAAACGGCGGCCGUAACCAUAACGGUCCUAAGGUAGCGAAAUUCCUUGUCGGGUAAGUUCCGACCUGCACGAAUGGCGUAACGAUCUCCCCGCUGUCUCUGAUGUGGACUCAGCGAAAUUGAACUGUGUGUCAAGAUGCACACUUCCCGCGGUUAGACGGAAAGACCCCAUGAACCUUUACUCCAGCUUUGCACUGGCAUCAGGAUUGUGAUGUGCAGGAUAGGUGGUAGGCAUCGAAGCAGAGACGCCAGUUUCUGUGGAGCCUCCCUUGAGAUACCACCCUUCGCACUCUUGAUGUCUAACCGCGGCCCGUUAUCCGGGUCCGGGACCAUGCAUGGUGGGGAGUUUGACUGGGGCGGUCGCCUCCCAAACAGUAACGGAGGCGCGCGAAGGUUGGCUCAGAGCGGUCGGAAAUCGCUCGUUGAGUGCAAUGGCAGAAGCCAGCCUGACCGCAAGACUGACAAGUCGAGCAGAGACGAAAGUCGGCCAUAGUGAUCCGGUGGUCCCAAGUGGGAGGGCCAUCGCUCAACGGAUAAAAGGUACUCUGGGGAUAACAGGCUGAUGAUGCCCAAGAGUCCAUAUCGACGGCAUCGUUUGGCACCUCGAUGUCGGCUCAUCUCAUCCUGGGGCUGGAGCAGGUCCCAAGGGUAUGGCUGUUCGCCAUUUAAAGAGGUACGUGAGCUGGGUUUAGAACGUCGUGAGACAGUUCGGUCCCUAUCUGCCGUGGGUGUAGGAGACUUGAGAAGAGUUGCCCCUAGUACGAGAGGACCGGGGUGAACGUUCCACUGGUGGACCAGUUGUCGUGCCAACGGCAGUGCUGGGUAGCUAUGAACGGACAGGAUAACCGCUGAAGGCAUCUAAGCGGGAAGCCCCCUUCAAAACAAGGUCUCCCUUGAGAGCCGUGGAAGACCACCACGUCGAUAGGCCAGAGGUGUAAGUGCAGCAAUGCAUACAGCUGACUGGUACUAAUUGCUC